AUGAAUAUCUUCAGGAAAUAUGGCUCAAGGAAGAACUCCAAGGGUGUUAUUGGGGAGUCUUCUGACAAUGAUCUCCACCCUCGGAGGUUGGCAGAGGUACGACCGUGCGAAUGGUCGCACAUCCUGUUCCUGCAAGAAGUUGGAAUUCAUGAGGAGUUCAUGCAAUUCAUUGCCAAUGCCGGUCUCACCGAUUUCAUCACAGAUGAGUGUGACCAGCACCAAAUCCUCACAAAUAUGUUUGUUCAAAGCUUUACUUUCUUGCCUAGAAAUAAUCCCCCUGAAGUGAGCUUUGAUUUAUAUGCUGAAAAUCAUCAGAUACCACUUAUUGAGUUUUGUGACAUAUGCUUGAUCACUUCUGACGGGAGCUUGGCCGAGCCUAGGCCGGCUGAGUUUGAGGAUUUUUGUCGCACUUUGACAGUGGGUGAUGAGAGAAGAGUGUCGGCCAUCACUGCUAGUGGUUUACAUUUUCCUGUUGUUCGUUACUUUGCAUAUUCCAUUACCAAAUGCUUGCUUUCUAGGGAGAAGGUGGGUGCACUUAGUUCACCAAACCUUGUUGUUUUACGUCGUGCAAUUGAGGGCGACAACACGUAUAGAUUGGGAGCUAUCGUGGCUCGUCGCCUGCACCUUAAUAAAUCCCAGGGUAAAAUACAUGGUGGGAUUUAUGCUACGCGUUUGGCGGCUCACUUCGAGGUUGAGAUAUGCCCUCAUGAUUACCCUCUGACCAAGGUUUACCUAGACCGUGCGGCCAUGGAUCACCAUCACUUUCUUGCACAUGAUCGUCCUGACAUUGCCAUUCCUUAUAACUUGGUCUAUAACAUUGACACUCAUGAUGUUAUUCCCUUGCCGGCACCUACUUUGUUUGAUUCUAUUGCCAGGGGCGAAUACCGGAUUAUGCCUGCAGACAUCCUCGCCUACUGGAAUGCUCAGGCUGCUGUUGAGGCUGCACAGGCACCUCCACAGUGGGAUCAGUGGAUGCCCGCUCCUCAGUACCCCGACUACUACCCUCCAGGCUACCGAUUCACUACCAACUUAGGCCAAAAGCCUAAGCUUGGGGGAGUACGGGUUUCUCACUGA
rnacentral:rRNA from 1 species